UGGGGAAUUGUUCGCAAUGGGCGCAAGCCUGAUCCAGCAAUGCCGCGUGAGUGAUGAAGGCCUUAGGGUUGUAAAGCUCUUUUACCCGGGAUGAUAAUGACAGUACCGGGAGAAUAAGCCCCGGCUAACUCCGUGCCAGCAGCCGCGGUAAUACGGAGGGGGCUAGCGUUGUUCGGAUUUAUUGGGUUUAAAGGGUGCGUAGGCGGCCUAUUAAGUCAGUUCUGAAAUAUCCCGGCUUAACCGGGAGGGUGGGAUUGAUACUGAUGGGCUUGAGUGGAAUCGAGGUAGGCGGAAUUGACGGUGUAGCGGUGAAAUGCUUAGAUAUCGUCAAGAACACCGAUAGUGUAGACAGCUUACUAGACUUCAACUGACGCUGAGGCACGAAAGUGUGGGGAUCAAA
rnacentral:rRNA from 1 species